rnacentral:rRNA from 1 species
GAUGAACGCUAGCGACAGGCCUAACACAUGCAAGUCGAGGGGCAGCAUGAAAGUAGCUUGCUACUUUUGAUGGCGACCGGCGCACGGGUGCGUAACAGGUGUGCAAUCUGUCCAUAAUCGGGGAAUAGCCCAGCGAAAGUUGGAUUAAUGCUCCAUGUGAGCCGAGGAGGCAUCUCUUUGGUUUGAAACGUAAGGAUUAUGGGUGAGCACGCUUCUGAUUAGGUAGUUGGUGAGGUAACGGCUCACCAAGCCGACGAUCAGUAGGGGUUCUGAGAGAAAGGUCCCCCACAUUGGAACUGAGACACGGUCCAAACUCCUACGGGAGGCAGCAGUGAGGAAUAUUGGUCUAUGGACGCAAGUCUGAACCAGCCAAGUCGCGUGAAGGAUGAAGGUUCUAUGGAUUGUAAACUUCUUUUGUCUGAGGGUAAAAAAGCGGACGUGUCCGUUCUUGCAAGUAUCAGACGAAUAAGCAUCGGCUAACUCCGUGCCAGCAGCCGCCGUAAUAC